rnacentral:rRNA from 1 species
CAAUGGGGGAAACCCUGNAUGCAGCGACGCCGCCGUGGAGGAAGAAGGUCUNCNGAUUGUAAACUCCUGUUGUUGAGGAAGAUAAUGACGGUACUCAACAAGGAAGUGACGGCUAACUACGUGCCAGCAGCCGCGGUAAAACGUAGGUCACAAGCGUUGUCCGGAAUUACUGGGUGUAAAGGGAGCGCAGGCGGGAAGACAAGUUGGAAGUGAAAUCCAUGGGCUCAACCCAUGAACUGCUUUCAAAACUGUUUUUCUUGAGUAGUGCAGAGGUAGGCGGAAUUCCCGGUGUAGCGGUGGAAUGCGUAGAUAUCGGGAGGAACACCAGUGGCGAAGGCGGCCUACUGGGCACCAACUGACGCUGAGGCUCGAAAGUGUGGGUAGCAAACAGGAUUAGAUACCCUGGUAGUCCAAGGGCGAAUUC